AUAAUACUCCCUCCAUCCUAAAAUACUUGUCAUGAAAAUGGAUGUAUCUAGAUGUAUUUUACUUCUAAAUACAUUCACUUUUAUUCAUUUUUGUGACAAGUAAUUCCGGAUGGAGGGAGUAGUAG
rnacentral:pre_miRNA from 1 species